rnacentral:lncRNA from 1 species
CAUCGCAACUCCAAAUUUCCAUAUGUUACACCCUCAGCCACAUUAGGCGCGCGAGCCGAGGGCACGGGCGGACCACGGCCUUCAACUGCCGUCGCGGCCGCCGCCGCCACCUGCCGCUCCAAAAGUUCCUGGAGCCGCUCGACCUGACUGGUUAGCGCGGUAACUUGCGCUCGUAACUCCUGCACCUCUCUAGGCCCAGCAGGCUCUGGCGCCACCGGAGGUCCAGCCUGCUCUGGCACCACGGGAGGUGGUGCCGGAACGGAUCUACGUGCGUAGCGUCUCGGGGACAUCAGCUCCUGAAACGCAAACAUUUGGUUAAUCAUCUUAACCCGUUAAACUCGCGCAAUUACGAGACAACGCGACUCAACAUCGAAAUUAGGCGGAAGCACAAGUGUACUUAUUCUAAACUCUUAGUGUCAUGUUGUCGGCUGCCCAACACAAACACUUCAAGUCAAGAAUCAAUACCACUUGAAUCCGUCUCUAGUAACUACUAGAAACAUACUAUCAACAACUUCGACCCAAUCGAAUCAACUCCCGCCACAACGCAUAGGUUCACGUCACUCACGCACCUAUAGCCUUAAGGUUUCCGUCCUAGGGUCUCCUAGGUCAACCCUAGACUCUCUCUUUGCUUUCUCUUAACUCGCUCUGAUACCAUUUUAUCUGUCACGCCCCGAGACCGCUACCAAUUUGGUCCGAUCCGGGCGCGUCGAACAGACGCCGAACGGACAGCACCUCCCCUGUCCGCCCAAGGCUAAACAACAGGAUCAUGUACAACAAGUUCCCAGGAAAUUAACUUGAAUACAUACAUGAUCAAAACAAUAGCGAUGGCACAACCAGUGCCGAACAUUACAAGAGCAAGCAUCACAAGUAUAAACAAGUGAAUAAAAGAGAGAUAUAACUAUCUAUUACAUCACAUUUGACAUUCAACAUUUACAUCCAUUCAACCUUUAAUACAACUUGAUUACAUUUAAGCUUUCAAAAUGAAUACAUAAUCAUAUCACAUAUAUAUAUAAUGCUAGCUAUCCAAAAUACAUCAUGUCAUCUAUAACCAUGCACACGAGGGUGCUCUAGUACAAUAGGAAAGCUCUACUAGCUAACUAGGGCGCUAUGCCCUUACCGCGAUCACCUGCCGGUCCGCUCACAUGUGUACCUGUACCCCAAAACCACACGGGGUGAGAACUAUAUAAAUAUAGUUCCCAGUGGGUUCGGCCGCCGACUCCGCCGAUCUUCCCACUAGGUCUAAGCUGGCACAGAUAGAUAGAUAGAGAGAUAGAUAGAUAUUGAACUGCAACUAUGAUCUAUUGUGCCAUCAAAUGCAAGCAAUGCAUGAAAUAUCAACUAGCAAUAAGCCUACUAUCAUGAUAAUAUGCUUCAACGAUGUAAUGAAUACAAAUACGACACAGUUAUGCAAUCCACUAACAUAUACUAUGUCUAAUCAGGGUAUGAAUGCAAAUCCACUUAUGCUAUUCAUGUCAUUACCCAAUCCACUAGGCUACCCCGCCUAAGAUCUCGACCACAUGGGUGAAGGACUACCCCGCCCUUGUCUCACCCGUCUCACAACUCUAACACUAUAGGUAAAGAGCUACCCCGCUCUUACCCGAUUCAGAUCUCAAGUCCUAUAGGUGAAGAGCUACCCCGCUCCUCGCCCAACUCAUGACUCAAAUGCCUAAGGGCAAGAGCUACCCCGCUCUUCACCCCGACUCUAACUCAAACUCAUAAGUCAUGAGCUACCCCGCUCAUAGGUCAAGAGCUACCCCGCUCGUAGGUAAAGAGCUACCCCGCUCAUAGGUAAAGAGCUACCCCGCUCAUAGGUAAAGAGCUACCCCGCUCAAAUCUCACAGGAGAAGAGCUACCCCGCUCGUGAGCUACCCCGCUCAUGUGACAACUCCGGAUACCCUGUCAACUAGGUUAACCAUCACUUGAUAAUCCACCUAUCCCUAGGUCCAUGUCAAGUGCCUCAACCACACUAAAUCUCGAUGCCACUCACCUAGGUCUAAUAAACUCUAGGUUCCACAACACUAGGUUUAAUGUCAACCUAUGUUUAACAACAUUAUGUUAAUGCCACUCGAUCUAUCCUAGGUUCACGACACUAGGUUUAGAUGCCACAUGCCUCAUAAUCUCCAUAAUUAACAAUAGGUUAACAUUCAUUUCAUCUAGCAUAUAUGUUCUAUAAAGCCAACAUGCAUCAUAUUGCUAAUAUGCCGACUAGCAUGCAAUCCAUUCAUUACACUAGUUCACAUGUCACUAGUUUCAUUAUCAAGUCCAAGUUCUUUAUUCUCUUAUCAUCAUAGGAUCUCAUGUCUCAACCUUAAUCAUCAUGCAUUCUAGAUUUAAGUGUCAAGUCUAUAAUACUACACAACUAGACAUGCAUGCAAGAAAAUAGAAAUGUAACUAUACAUAUAUCCUAUAAUGCAUAAGAACCAUAUAUAUGAAAUAUGAUCAACUAUUUUACUCGAACAUAGAAGGAAGCCCGAUUGCUUCGGAUAGACACCCCCCACCUUUUUACAGUGUUCCGAUUGCUCGUCGUCACUCGCAAUCGGCCUCCCGCGGCGCACGCCGCUCGGCUCGACCCUAUUCACGCGCGACCUCCAAACGACCUCCGCUUCGCGAUCCGAGAAUUAUAGGUCUUCGGUUUUCUGUUACGAUGCUCGGGAUCCAAUCCCACGAUUUAUGGAAGCCGCCUCGACUCCCCAGGUCAAUAUGAACCCACGAACACUUGAUUCAGCCGGAACGUCGCACCCGCUCGACGAAUCGAUGAACCGUCGCUUCCUACGCGUUCGGGGACAUAACAAUUAGGUUUCCGACCACUCAAAAUAGAUCAAACCCAACUACUUACAAAAAUCCCAUUUUUAACCCUAGGUUUGCAAUUAGAUAAAAAUCCACCAUUAGGGCUCCAAAUUCAAGCUCCAAUAAUCUAUUUAGCAUCAAAGAGGUCCACUAAAUCCAUUUAUAAGGAUUAAAACCCAAGCUCUAGUAAUCUACCAUUAAUAAGCAUCAAGCUUACCUCUAUGUGUUAGCUCCAACCCAAGGAAGAAGAUGGAGAUGGUGAAGUUCCACCUUCUUGACCUUCUUCUCCUUCUUCUUCUCCUUCUUCUUCUCCUUCUUUCUCUUCUUCCCUUUCUUCUAUUUCGUUUAGAGAGAGAGAGAGGGAGAGAGAAAUGUGAGGGAGUGAGAGAAAUAAGAGAAAGAGAGAGAGAAAAUGCUCUCUUAAUCCCCUCUCAUAUUGUAACAUUUCCACAUAAGCCCCUCUACUUCUCCAACCUUGCAACAGCCCAAACUGGGUGUUUUUCGCGCUCUAAGACCGGUCUCAGGCAGUGAGAGACCGGUCCCCGAAGGACCAGAAUUUUAGCAUUUCCAGACUUAGCCAAAUUUUCAGCUUUUUCACCGUUUUUGCUCCGUUUUCGCUCGUUUUCGCUCGUUUGACCUCCGAUUCAUUUCAAAUCGAACCGAGACUCUCCAAACAUGUUUUCGAGCAUGUUUUCAUCAUCUUUUCAUCCCCGCUAAUGCCGGAUUUAGUUCAUGGUCCGACAUAGCCUUUCGGGUCCCAUUUCCGCGCCUACGCGCACCGAAUCGCCCGGAUGCUUCCGAACUUCACCGAACUUCACCGGAACCCUUCAAAUGGCUCUCUAACCAAAUGUACACCGUAACUUCAUGAUUUUAGAAGUCCGGUACCUUACAUCCUCCCCUCCUUAAUAAGAGUUUCGUCCUCGAAACUAACUCACUUCAAACCCAAUUCGCACCUCAACUCGACGUAUCGAGCGACAUAGGGUUCCAAUGCACUUUUGCACUCCGGGGUGGCCUUUCACUCAUUGGAAUCAUCCAAAGGCCUACCACGGGGGAUGUGAGACUAGAUUCACUCACUCUUGCUAAACGUAGCUCCGAAAGUGCAUUACGAGUCUCCGUCAUUCUUGGUGGUAGCGCAAGUCGAAGCUCAACGAUUCUACGCGCUCCAACACCAUUCACCAUUCGGCAUGCAAGAACUCUUCUUUGCAUUCACUUUCCCCCUCGGGGCAUUCCGAUUCGAUCACCAACAUUGCUCAAAAGCAAUAUCAUUGGUGCAUCACCCAAUCGCGAGUGUUCUAACCACAUUCGGACCUUGCUCUACCGCGAGAUGGCCUACCCCGGCAUAUCUCGACUUCCAAUCCUCAAGAGAGCAUUGUCCACAAUUCCAUGUGGCUAUCCGGUAUUCAAGUGUCUCCAAGAGACUACUUUUCCUUACCUCUCAAUUGCCACUUCUAACCUCAAAUCGCUCUACUACGAGAUGGCCUACCCCGGCACAUCUCUCGAACCUCACAAUCCAUGAAAGAGCGUUAUCUUCAAGUGUUCCAAGUUUUCCAACACGACCCAGCCUGCUUGGGCAAGUUGCACACUCGGGGACCGGUCUCUCCCGGCCAGGGGACCGGUUGCCCCGCUCCGCGCAACCCUCAUCCUCGGGGCAACUGGUCCCUCCUUCCUGGGACCGGUCCCCGAGAGCAAGCUUGCGCAGACAACGUUCGGGAACCGGUCCCUUCCGCCAGGGACCGGUCCCCGAGAGCAAAUCUGCCAAGUGCAGAUUCUUGCACCAUGCUCUCGCGGACUCCAUUGCAAUGCACUUUUG